CCAGCCAAAAAUUCACCACCAACCUGACAAUUACUUCCGAGGUCCAGGCAAUGUGAUCGAGGGAAAUAUCUUUGAGGACUCGAACAUCCACAAUAACCAUCAGAUGUUUUCACAGGAUGGUUGUCAAUUUGACAGGGUUAAAGCUUUGAAUUCUGCAUUUGAGAGCAAUCAGCAGAACAACAACAACAAUAACAGCAAUAGCUUCAAUCUGAUGUUCGGG
rnacentral:misc_RNA from 1 species